AACCGAAACAGGUGGUCAGGUAGAGAAUACCAAGGCGCUUGAGAGAACUCGGGUGAAGGAACUAGGCAAAAUGGUGCCGUAACUUCGGGAGAAGGCACGCUGACAUGUAGGUGAAGUGAUUUACUCAUGGAGCUGAAGUCAGUCGAAGAUACCAGCUGGCUGCAACUGUUUAUUAAAAACACAGCACUGUGCAAACACGAAAGUGGACGUAUACGGUGUGACGCCUGCCCGGU
rnacentral:rRNA from 1 species